UCACAUAGAACCGGAGAUAUGAUUUUUUGGUUAAAACAGAACCGGAGAUAUGAGGGGUCAAAGUUCACAAAAUUCAAAAAAUCAUAUCUCCGGUUCUAUGUGAC
rnacentral:pre_miRNA from 1 species